rnacentral:rRNA from 1 species
UUAGAGUUUGAUCCUGGCUCAGGAUGAACGCUAGCGGGAGGCUUAACACAUGCAAGUCGAGGGGCAUCUCUGGUAGCAAUACUGGAGGCGACCGACGUACGGGUGAGUAACGCGUAUGUAACCUACCCUUUACCGGGGGAUAGCUCCCGGAAACGGGAAUUAAUACCCCAUGAGGUUUCGGAGGCGCAUGCUUUCGGGAUCAAAGCUGUGGCGGUAAAGGACGGGCAUGCGUAGCAUUAGCUAGUUGGUAGGGUAACGGCCUACCAAGGCUACGAUGCUUAGGGGGCCUGAGAGGGUGUACCCCCACACUGGUACUGAGACACGGACCAGACUCCUACGGGAGGCAGCAGUGAGGAAUAUUGGUCAAUGGGCGGAAGCCUGAACCAGCCAUCCCGCGUGCAGGAAGAAGGCGCUAAGCGUUGUAAACUGCUUUUGCAGGGGAAGAAACUUCCGGUUGCGACCGGGACUGACGGUACCCUGUGAAUAAGCAUCGGCUAACUCCGUGCCAGCAGCCGCGGUAAUACGGAGGAUGCGAGCGUUAUCCGGAUUCACUGGGUUUAAAGGGUGCGCAGGCGGGCUGAUAAGUCAGUGGUGAAAUUUUACAGCUUAACUGUAAACGUGCCAUUGAUACUGUCAGUCUUGAGUGUGGUCAAGGUAGGCGGAAUGUGUAAUGUAGCGGUGAAAUGCUUAGAUAUUACACAGAACACCGAUUGCGAAGGCAGCUUACUGGGCCACCACUGACGCUGAGGCACGAAAGCGUGGGGAGCAAACAGGAUUAGAUACCCUGGUAGUCCACGCUGUAACCGAUAAUCACUCGCUGUUGGCGAUAUACUGUCAGUGGCUAAGCGAAAGCAUUAAGUAUCCACCUGGAGA